GUGCAUGAUAUAAUAGAAUAUAUGGACGCGAGCGAAAGUUGUAUUAGCUGUUGGCUGAGUCUCUGCCUGCAAAAUGCAAAUCCCAUUGCUUUCUCCAACAUCUGAGAGUACUUGCAAAGAUUAGAUGGCCAAUUUCGGUGAUGGUUCUUCUACGCAAUUUGGGGUUGACAAUUUGGGAUAUGUAUGGGCCACUCUCAUUGCUCUCCUUGCUAUCUUCUUCUUCCACUCUGCUAAGUUCUUCUUCUCCUUCCUCUUUUCCUCAUCCUCUAAAAGCCAUCCCCUUUCCGUUCCUUCUGUUUCCUCUGCCUCCUGUCCUUCCGUGUCUUCCUCCGGGAACCUCCAAUUCCGAAUCUCAGAGCUUGUAUCAGAAACAGAUUUAAAGAUUUUAAUAGAAAAUUUGGAUGAGAAGCUCACAAAGAAUGAGAAAUGGGAAAAUGUCAUAGAUAAAAGCAACAAUCUUUUAUCCUACAGUGCAAAAUGCUGCAAACCUAAGGAUGCUCCCCUUAAAUACUUGAGUGUGACAGUAUUUGAAAAUUGCUCCCCAGAGAUUCUUAGGGACUUUUAUAUGGACAAUGACUACAGAAAGCAGUGGGACAAGGCCUUGGUUGAACAUAAGCAGC
rnacentral:misc_RNA from 1 species